UACGAACUGUGCGAACGUUAUUCGGAAUCACUGGGCUUAAAGGGUGCGUAGGCGGCGAUUCAAGUCAGGUGUGAAAUCCCCCGGCUCAACCGGGGAACUGCGCUUGAAACUGGAUUGCUCGAGUGAGGCAGGGGUGUAUGGAACUUCCGGUGGAGCGGUGAAAUGUGUAGAGAUCGGAAGGAACGCCGGCGGCGAAAGCGGUACACUGGGCCUUGUCUGACGCUGAGGCACGAAAGCUAGGGGAGUGAACGGG
rnacentral:rRNA from 1 species